GGAAAAAUAGGAUUACAUAUAAAUUCUUUGCGUCCAGAUCUUCCUCUGUCACUCAACAAUCUGCAGCAGACCUAAGAAAUCCCCUUUUGGAGUUCCUGAUCUGGGUCAUCCAGAUCUGAUCAAGAAACUACUAAAAAUGAGAUCUUUUGAGAAAUUCAAGAUUUGGGUUUUGUUAAUCUGCUUGGUAUCUGAAUUGUGUUAUGGGUUUUAUCUGCCUGGAA
rnacentral:misc_RNA from 1 species